AGUGAACGCUGGCGGUAGGCCUAACACAUGCAAGUCGAACGGCAGCACAGUAAGAGCUUGCUCUUACGGGUGGCGAGUGGCGGACGGGUGAGGAAUACAUCGGAAUCUACUUUUUCGUGGGGGAUAACGUAGGGAAACUUACGCUAAUACCGCAUACGACCUACGGGUGAAAGCAGGGGAUCUUCGGACCUUGCGCGAUUGAAUGAGCCGAUGUCGGAUUAGCUAGUUGGCGGGGUAAAGGCCCACCAAGGCGACGAUCCGUAGCUGGUCUGAGAGGAUGACACCCCACACUGGAACGGAACCCCGGCCCGGCCCCCUCCGGGAGGCGGCGUGGGGGAAUAUUGGACAAGGGCCCCAGGCCUAACCCCCCCAUACCGCGUGGGUGAAGAAGCCCUUGGGGUUUUAAACCCUUUUUGUGGGGAAAAAAAAGCAGCAGUUUAAUCCCCCGGUGUUCUGACGUUACCCAAAAAAUAACCACCGGCUAUCUUCGUG
rnacentral:rRNA from 1 species